AGUCAUAUGCUUGUGUUAAAGAUUAAGCCAUGCAUGCCUAAGUAUAAACUGUACUAACGGUAAAACUGCGGACGGCUCCAUAGAUCAGUAAUUGUUCGUUCGGUGAACAAAGUACUUGGAUAACCCUGUUAAUUGUAGAGCUAAUACAUGCACCGACGACCUAAUAGCGUGAGCUAGAGGGUUGCACUUGUCCUAACUUACAAGCCGAUGGACUUUAGGACCGGCUGACGUGACCGGGGAGGAACUAUAAUGGGACCUCGAGAAAAGGAUCACAAAUAUAAAGCUUAGGAGGUAGCAAAAAGCCAACACGGCAAUGACCUAAGUGGAAAUUUGUGGGCUGGAUAUGAUUAACUUUAGGCAACUGAAGGGUAUUAUUGAAGGUAAAUAAACCUCGGGAUAUCCGGUUAUAGAACCGUCGAUCCGGCGUGGUUACGGAUUUAAUUUAACCUAGGUGAAAGGGGUGAAACAGGACAAUUCAAAGCCGAUCGCCACAAUGUGGCGACACGCCAUUCGAAUUUCUGACCUAUCAACUUGAUGGUAAGGUAUUGGCUUACCAUGGUAAUAACGGGUAACGGGGAAUUAGGGCUCGAUUCCGGAGAGGGAGCCUGAGAAACGGCUACCACUUCCAAGGAAGGCAGCAGGCGCGUAAAUUACUCCCUGCCGACACGGCGAGGUAGUGACGACAAAUACCAAGGGCNNNNNNNNNNNNNNNNNNNNNNNNNNNNNNNNNNNNNNNNNNNNNNNNNNNNNNNNNNNNNNNNNNNNNNNNNNNNNNNNNNNNNNNNNNNNNNNNNNNGCGGUAAUUCCAGCUCCAAAAGUGUAUACUAAAGCUGUUGCGGUUAAAACGCUCGUAGUUGAAUUCCAACAUCCGGAAACAAGGCGAUUAAGAAAAGGGACCUUUAGUUAAUUAUAUUAAUUAUGAAAGUAAUUAAUAUAAACUUAAAGAAACCCACUUGACGCACCGGAGAAGUUUGAAACCCAAUAAUAUUCCGAAAUUCCGCAAAUGUUCUUUAUUGAAUAAUUUGUAACAUAGAAACCCUGACUAACAAGGAAGGGGGGAAUUCGGAGACUUUGUUUACCUUGAAUAAACUAGAGUGAUUCAAGCAGGCGUUUCGCCGUUGAAUACAUUAGCAUGGGAUAAACAAUUAAAAAAAGUCGGGGUCACAUCGAAACUACAUUUGGAUAAGUACUAUAAGAGGAGUAUUCAAGUGGUAUUCUUACUUGAACACAUAAAGAGAAGUUGAUAGUUCCAAUGGUUAGCUUGGCUAUCCAGUGAGGACACAGUUCUUAAUAAAUGUGAUAAGUUUACUUAUUCAUUAAUUGAGAGUGUCCAUUGCCGCAAGGUGAUAUAUUGAUUUCUGUGUCAAGAGGAAUAAUAACUAAAUACUGAUAAAGACUCUUUAAGGAAACGAAGAAUGCAAGCCGGUCGUUUUAUCUCCGAUCGUCUGUGACUAUUAAUGAGUAAUGUUAAUUAACAUGAAAAGGUUAAUAAGCAUAGGCGUUAUUCUCAAAUAGGGACAGCCGGGGUGGUUCAUACUUCCUUGUUAGGGGUGAAAUCCUAUGAUUAAGGAAAGAUGAACUAGUGCGAAAGCAUUCCACAAGGAUGUUUUCAUUGAUCAAGAACGAAAGUUGGGGGAUCGAAGACGAUCAGAUACCGUCGUAGUCUCAACCAUAAACGAUGCCGACCAGAGAUCGGAGGACGCUUUCCGAAAGGAAAAGCGGCUCCCCCGGCACCUUUGAGAGAAAUCAAAAGUGUCUAGGCUUCGGGGGGAGUACGGUCGCAAGGCUGAAACUUAAAGGAAUUGACGGAAGGGCACAACCAGGAGUGGAGCCUGCGGCUUAAUUUGACUCAACACGGGAAAACUUACCAGGACCAGACAGUGGAAGGAUUGACAGAUUGAGAGCUCUUUCUAGAUUCGCUGGGUGGUGGUGCAUGGCCGUUCUUAGUUCGUGAUGUAAAUUGUCAGUGUCAAUUCCGUUAACGGACGAGACCUUAACCUGCUAAAUAAUGUUGGGCAGAGGAAUUAUAUGAAUGAAGUUAGUAGCAAUAUUAAUGGAAAGCAUAUAAACUCUAGUAAAAAAUCAUCCCCUCGACAAUUAUGAAACUUGUUUAAAUUUUCGAGUAAAAUUGAAAGUUUGAAUAAGAUAGUAAAAGCAAGGAUGACCCAACUUCUUAGAGGGACUAGUUGCUCCCUAGCGACUGGAAGUUUGAGGCAAUAACAGGUCUGUGAUGCCCUUCGAUGCCCUGGGCCGCACGCGCGCUACACUGAUUGGGAGAAUGAGUUUGAGUGCGCCUCUUGAGCCGCUUGUUAAUCUUAACGGGUUAAUAAGAGGAUUAAGGGGGAAAGCACCUACCCUGGGUCGAAAGACUUCUUGGGAAAUCUGAGAAAACCCAAUCGUGAUUGGGAUAGACCUUUGUAAUUAUUGGUCUUGAACGAGGAAUUCCUCGUAAGCGCGGGUCAUCAGCUCGCGUUGAUUACGUCCCUGCCCUUUGUACACACCGCCCGUCGCUCCUACCGAUUGGAUGAUCCGGUGAAGAUAACGGAUGUGAAUGGCAUCACAUUAAACGAAAGUUUAAUAAUGUCAACCAGAAGUUAUCUAAACCUUAUUAUCUAGAGGAAGGAGAAGUCGUAACAAGGUUUCC
rnacentral:rRNA from 1 species